GACGAACGCUGGCGGCGUGCUUAACACAUGCAAGUCGAACGAAGUGGCGAACGGGUGAGUAACGCGUAAUCAACCUGCCCUUCAGAGGGGGACAACAGUUGGAAACGACUGCUAAUACCGCAUACUGAAGGAGGGGAUUGCGUCUGAUUAGCUAGUUGGAGGGGUAACGGCCCACCAAGGCGAUGAUCAGUAGGCGGUCGGGGAAGAGGAACGGCCAAAAUGGGAAUGAGAAAAGGGCCAGAAUCGUACGGGGGGGAGCAGUGGGGAAACAUCCGAAAUGGAGGAAAGGCUGACGGAGCAACGCCGCGUGAGAGAUGACGGCCUUCGGGUUGGAAAGCUAUGUUAAUCGGGACGCGGUACCGGAAUAGAAAGCCACGGCUAACUACGUGCCAGCAGCCGCGGUAAUUC
rnacentral:rRNA from 1 species